GCUCAGUAACACGUGGAGAACGUGCCCUUAGGCGGAGGAUAAUCUCGGGAAAUUGAGGAUAAUACUCCAUAGGUCACGGGGUCUGGAACGACCCGUGGCCGAAAGCCCCGGCGCCUAAGGAUCGCUCUGCGGCUUAUCAGGUCGUAGUGGGUGUAACGUACCCCCUAGCCGACGACGAGUAUGGGCCUUGAGAGAGGGAGCCCAGAGAUGGAUUCUGAGACACGAAUCCAGGCCCUACGGGGCGCAGCAGUCGCGAAAACUUCACAAUGGAGGCAACUCCGAUGAGGGAAUUCCUAGUGCUAUGUGCAUUUGCAUUUUAGCUUUUCUCAAGCGUAGAUAACUUGAGGAAUAAGGGCUGGGUAAGACGGGUGCCAGCCGCCGCGGUAAUACCCGCAGCCCAAGUGGUGGUCGAUUUUAUUGAGUCUAAAACGUUCGUAGCCGGUUCAUUAAAUCCUUGGGUAAAUCGGAGAGCUUAACUUCCCGACUUCCGAGGAGACUGGUGAACUUGGGACCGGGAGAGGCAAGAGGUACUUCUGGGGUAGGGGUAAAAUCCUGUAAUCCUAGAAGGACCACCGGUGGCGAAGGCGUCUUGCUAGAACGGAUCCGACGGUGAGGGACGAAGCCCUGGGUCGCAAACGGGAUUAGAUACCCCGGUAGUCCAGGGUGUAAACGCUGCAGACUUGGUGUUGGGGACCCUUCGGGGGUGUUCAGUGCCGGAGAGAAGUUGUUAAGUCUGCUACUUGGGGAGUACGUCCGCAAGGAUGAAACUUAAAGGAAUUGGCGGGGGAGCAC
rnacentral:rRNA from 1 species